UUGACCUCGAAUCAGGUAGGGAUACCCGCUGAACUUAAGCAUAUCAAUAAGCGGAGGAAAAGAAACCAACCGGGAUUACCUCAGUAACGGCGAGUGAAGCGGUAACAGCUCAAAUUUGAAAUCUGGCUCCUGCGGAGUCCGAGUUGUAAUUUGUAGAAGAUGCUUUGGGAGGGAGGCUCGGCCUAAGUUCCUUGGAACAGGACAUCAGAGAGGGUGAGAAUCCCGUAUGUGGCCGUGGCCUCCGCCCGUGUAAAGCUCUUUCGACGAGUCGAGUUGUUUGGGAAUGCAGCUCAAAAUGGGUGGUAAAUUUCAUCUAAAGCUAAAUAUUGGCCAGAGACCGAUAGCGCACAAGUAGAGUGAUCGAAAGAUGAAAAGCACUUUGGAAAGAGAGUUAAACAGUACGUGAAAUUGUUGAAAGGGAAGCGCUUGCACCCAGACUUGGGCGUCGUCGAUCAUCCGAGGUUCUCCUCGGUGCACUCGGCGAGGCACAGGCCAGCAUCGGUUUGGAUGGUUGGAGAAAGGCUCUAGGAACGUAGCUCUCUUCGGGGAGUGUUAUAGCCUAGGGCGUAAUGCAGCCCAUCGGGACCGAGGACCGCGCCUUCGGGCUAGGAUGCUGGCGUAAUGGUUGCAAGCGACCCGUCUUGAAACACGGACCAAGGAGUCUAACAUCUAUGCGAGUGUUUGGGCGUUAAACCCAUACGCGGAAUGAAAGUGAACGUAGGUGAGAACCCAUCUGGGUGCAUCAUCGACCGAUCCUGAUGUCUUCGGAUGGAUUUGAGUACGAGCAUAGCUGUUGGGACCCGAAAGAUGGUGAACUAUGCCUGAAUAGGGUGAAGCCAGAGGAAACUCUGGUGGAGGCUCGCAGCGGUUCUGACGUGCAAAUCGAUCGUCAAAUUUGGGUAUAGGGGCGAAAGACUAAUCGAACCAUCUAGUAGCUGGUUCCUGCCGAAGUUUCCCUCAGGAUA
rnacentral:rRNA from 2 species